GAUGAACGCUGGCGGCGUGCCUAAUACAUGCAAGUCGAGCGAACAGAUGAGGAGCUUGCUCCUCUGACGUUAGCGGCGGACGGGUGAGUAACACGUGGAUAACCUACCUAUAAGACUGGGAUAACUUCGGGAAACCGGAGCUAAUACCGGAUAAUAUAUUGAACCGCAUGGUUCAAUAGUGAAAGACGGUUUUGCUGUCACUUAUAGAUGGAUCCGCGCCGCAUUAGCUAGUUGGUAAGGUAACGGCUUACCAAGGCAACGAUGCGUAGCCGACCUGAGAGGGUGAACGGCCACACCGGAACUGAGACACGGUCCCGACUCCUACGGGAGGCAGCAGUAGGGAAUCUUCCGGAAUGGGCGAAAGCUUGACGGAGCAACGGCGCGUGAGUGAUGAAGGUCUUCUGAUCGUAAAACUCUGUUAUUAGGGAAGAACAAAUGUGUAAGUAACUAUGCACGUCUUGACGGUACCUAAUCAGAAAGCCACGGCUAACUACGUG
rnacentral:rRNA from 1 species